CCGUUCUCAACGGGGUGCGAAAACGGCUUUAUCAACUGUCUCUAACGCGUUUUUCGCUGAGAAAAUACCCGUCGAACCUGAUCCGGUUAAUACCGGCGAAGGGAUUUGAGAGUGUUCAUCGC
rnacentral:ncRNA from 2 species